UGGGGAAUCUUCCGCAAUGGGCGAAAGCCUGACGGAGCAACGCCGCGUGAAUGAAGAAGGCCUUCGGGUCGUAAAGUUCUGUCUUUGGAGACGAAUAUUCCUUAUGUAAAUAAUGUAGGGAACUGACGGUAUCCAAGGAGGAAGCUCCGGCUAACUACGUGCCAGCAGCCGCGGUAAUACGUAGGGAGCGAGCGUUGUCCGGAAUUACUGGGCGUAAAGGGCGCGUAGGCGGGUAUUUAAGUCAGAUGUGAAAACUCCGGGCUCAACCUGGAGACUGCAUUUGAAACUGAGUAUCUUGAGGGCAGGAGAGGAAAGUGGAAUUCCUAGUGUAGCGGUGAAAUGCGUAGAUAUUAGGAGGAACACCAGUGGCGAAGGCGACUUUCUGGACUGUACCUGACGCUGAUGCGCGAAAGCGUGGGGAGCGAACGGG
rnacentral:rRNA from 2 species